AUCCUUUUGUAGUUCAUGAGCACGAUGAUUGGGUGUUCACGCAUCUGUGGGAAACGUGCCUCCCUCAAACCUUGCUCUGACAUCAGCACAUUACCUGUAUGACG